rnacentral:tRNA from 1 species
ACGUUCUGUAGCUCAGUUUGGUAGAGCAACGCAUUCAUAACGCGUCUGUCGCGGGUUCGAUUCCCGCCGAACGCC